AGAUUGAACGCUGGCGGCAGGCCUAACACAUGCAAGUCGAGCGGUAGAGAGGUGCUUGCACCUCUUGAGAGCGGCGGACGGGUGAGGAAUACAUCGGAAUCUACCUUUUGGUGGGGGAUAACGUAGGGAAACUUACGCUAAUACCGCAUACGCCCUUCGGGGGAAAGCCGGGACCAGCAAUGGCCUGGCGCUGAUAGAUGAGCCGAUGUCGGAUUAGCUAGUUGGUGAGGUAAUGGCUCACCAAGGCGACGAUCCGUAGCUGGUCUGAGAGGAUGAUCAGCCACACUGGAACUGAGACACGGUCCAGACUCCUACGGGAGCAGCAGUGGGGAAUAUUGGACAAUGGGCGCAAGCCUGAUCCAGCCAUACCGCGUGGGUGAAGAAGGCCUUA
rnacentral:rRNA from 1 species